AAGAGUUUGAUCAUGGCUCAGAUUGAACGCUGGCGGCAGGCCUAACACAUGCAAGUGGAACGGUAACAGGAAGCAGCUUGGUGCUUUGCUGACGAGUGGCGGACGGGUGAGUAAUGUCUGGGAAACUGCCUGAUGGAGGGGGAUAACUACUGGAAACGGUAGCUAAUACCGCAUAACGUCGCAAGACCAAAGAGGGGGACCUUAGGGCCUCUUGCCAUCGGAUGUGCCCAGAUGGGAUUAGCUAGUAGGUGGGGUAAAGGCUCACCUAGGCGACGAUCCCUAGCUGGUCUGAGAGGAUGACCAGCCACACUGGAACUGAGACACGGUCCAGACUCCUACGGGAGGCAGCAGUGGGGAAUAUUGCACAAUGGGCGCAAGCCUGAUGCAGCCAUGCCGCGUGUAUGAAGAAGGCCUUCGGGUUGUAAAGUACUUUCAGCGGGGAGGAAGGGAGUAAAGUUAAUACCUUUGCUCAUU
rnacentral:rRNA from 1 species